AGAGUUUGAUCAUGGCUCAGGACGAACGCUGGCGGCGCGCCUAACACAUGCAAGUCGAACGGAGAGAGCUGGAAGCUUGCUUCUAGCGAUCUUAGUGGCGGACGGGUGAGUAACACGUGAGCAACCUGCCUUUCAGAGGGGGAUAACGUUUGGAAACGAACGCUAAUACCGCAUAACGUAUUGGGGUCGCAUGGCCCUGAUACCAAAGGAGCAAUCCGCUGAGAGAUGGGCUCGCGUCUGAUUAGAUAGUUGGCGGGGUAACGGCCCACCAAGUCGACGAUCAGUAGCCGGACUGAGAGGUUGAACGGCCACAUUGGGACUGAGACACGGCCCAGACUCCUGCGGGAGGCAGCAGUGGGGGAUAUUGCACAAUGGGGGAAACCCUGAUGCAGCGACGCCGCGUGAGGGAAGACGGCCUUCGGGUUGUAAACUCCUGUUGUUGGGGAAGAUAAUGACGGUACCCAACAAGGAAGUGACGGCUAACUACGUGCCAGCAGCCGCGGUAAAACGUAGGUCACAAGCGUUGUCCGGAAUUACUGGGUGUAAAGGGAGCGCAGGCGGGAAGACAAGUUGGUAGUGAAAUCUAUGGGCUCAACCCAUAAACUGCUUUCAAAACUGUUUUUCUUGAGUAGUGCAGAGGUAGGCGGAAUUCCCGGUGUAGCGGUGGAAUGCGUAGAUAUCGGGAGGAACACCAGUGGCGAAGGCGGCCUACUGGGCACCAACUGACGCUGAGGCUCGAAAGUGUGGGUAGCAAACAGGAUUAGAUACCCUGGUAGUCCACACCGUAAACGAUGAUUACUAGGUGUUGGAGGAUUGACCCCUUCAGUGCCGCAGUUAACACAAUAAGUAAUCCACCUGGGGAGUAUGACCGCAAGGUUGAAACUCAAAGGAAUUGACGGGGGCCCGCACAAGCAGUGGAGUAUGUGGUUUAAUUCGACGCAACGCGAAGAACCUUACCAAGUCUUGACAUCCCUUGACAGGCAUAGAAAUAUGUUUUCUCUUCGGAGCAAGGAGACAGGUGGUGCAUGGUUGUCGUCAGCUCGUGUCGUGAGAUGUUGGGUUAAGUCCCGCAACGAGCGCAACCCUUAUGGUCAGUUACUACGCAAGAGGACUCUGGCCAGACUGCCGUUGACAAAACGGAGGAAGGUGGGGAUGACGUCAAAUCAUCAUGCCCUUUAUGACUUGGGCUACACACGUACUACAAUGGCGUUAAACAAAGAGAAGCAAGACCGCGAGGUGGAGCAAAACUCAGAAACAACGUCCCAGUUCGGACUGCAGGCUGCAACUCGCCUGCACGAAGUCGGAAUUGCUAGUAAUCGUGGAUCAGCAUGCCACGGUGAAUACGUUCCCGGGCCUUGUACACACCGCCCGUCACACCAUGAGAGCCGGGGGGACCCGAAGUCGGUAGUCUAACCGCAAGGAGGACGCCGCCGAAGGUAAAACUGGUGAUUGGGGUGAAGUCGUAACAAGGU
rnacentral:rRNA from 1 species